rnacentral:pre_miRNA from 1 species
UCUUAUGAAUGAGCAAAGAAAGUGGGUUCUUGAGAUAGAAUUUACUUCUGAUGAAGAUGCUAUGAA